rnacentral:rRNA from 1 species
CGGACGGGUGAGUAAUGUCUGGGAAACUGCCCGAUGGAGGGGGAUAACUACUGGAAACGGUAGCUAAUACCGCAUAACGUCGCAAGACCAAAGAGGGGGACCUUCGGGCCUCUUGCCAUCGGAUGUGUCCAGAUGGGAUUAGCUAGUAGGUGGGGUAACGGCUCACCUAGGCGACGAUCCCUAGCUGGUCUGAGAGGAUGACCAGCCACACUGGAACUGAGACACGGUCCAG